rnacentral:snoRNA from 1 species
UGCAAAUGAUGUAAACGAAUAUUUGCUAUCUUACUUCUGAUGAUGACAAUUUCCCACCAAGAUCGCUGAUGCA